rnacentral:tRNA from 1 species
AAAAUUUUAGUUUAAAUUUUAAAAUUUUUCAAUUACGGUGAAAAGAUUAAUAUUACUUAAAAUUUUA